UGGUAGGGGGCGGUGCGGUAUGCGUUGCUAGUUGGUAGGCGCGCUAUACGCGGCAGCCGGCUUCAGUUCAAUUCGAUCAGCUGAAGCACGUGUGCGUUGUGAAAGCGUGCUCGUUUCGUCGCCUCACCUCGUUCCUUCUCCUCGUGAAGGCUUUUGCGCCCAUCGCGUAGCAUCGCACUCGGAAAAGCAACGCACGGAAGGGGAGAAGGGGAGCGACGGGGAAGAAGACGAUCCACGCAGUACGUUUGCUCGCGGGGGAAGGAUGGUGAAGAAGGAGGAGGAGGAUACUCUCGUUUCCUCGCUACACGAGAAGGAGACGCGACCUUUCUAUUUUCUCUUCCGACGUUCCUUCGGAUUUAAACUGGUCGUCCGGUGCCAAGGCCUCUCUCUCUCUUCUCUGCCUGCUCUUCUCUCUUCGUCGUCCCUCGCUGCCGCCUCUCCUCCUCCUCUCCUCUCUCUCUCGUCUCUUCUCCUCGCCAUCUUUCCACCUCCUCGAAUCGUACGCCACGCUUCCGGCUGACAGUGCGCUUUUUGGGCCUGCGCCUCGCACGAUGGACGUCGCAGUCUCCCCUACUCCUUCGCCUUCAUCUCCUCCCUCUCUUGGUGACGCGACGCGAUUCUUCGUGAAGCGCGAAUUUCCCCGUCGCAAGGAGGGUGGAGUCCGCCGCGGACGUUUCAUACGAGAUCGCGAGGCGUUUACGAUACGACGACGGCAACGACGAGACGCGCGUAUCCGGGUGUGCCGGAUUCACGGACGGACGGACGGACGGACGUCGGCCAUGUCGUCGUUCUUCCUCGAGCGAGCGUGCGAGCGAACGAGCGAUCGAUCCCUCCGAGAGCGGAAUGUGCGCGCAGCUGUUCAACAGCUCCUCGUCGUCGGCAUUGGAUCAGCAUUCUUAUUUUACACAUACUGAUAUGGAGAUACCAGGGCCGUAGCGAGUCCCAAUGGCGCCCCCGGCCGAAAUAUUCUCCGUACCCCGAUCUCGACUUACGGUCUAUUGCACGAGAGAGCUGCCCGCGCGUCCGAACCGAAAUUUUAUAAUUGUGAGAACCUAUGAACAGGAACACACACAUUUGGAGGCGAGAAGGUUUCAACACUUUCGAUGCAUCUUGAAACGACACCCGGUUGCUUUUAUCGUCAACCGUAAGAUACCGCGUAUGAAUUCUAGCGCUCUCUCCGCUGUACAUAGAGAGCGCCCGGAUAUAAGAAUCGGACGAAUUUCCUCGGUGGAGAAAGCCCGGGUAACGGCAGCCCUAUUCCGCCGACCAGCCGGCCGGCUGAGUAGACAGACAAAACGGAGGAACCGUCUCUAACUUGGGUCCCACCGAGCGACGCGUCGAACGUGUCGCGUCGUCGCCACGUAUAGCGAUGCGCGCAUGCGCAAGCGAGUAGUCUGGCGCCAGCAGCUGGAAGAAAAAAGGAACUCGCAGAAGGAUAACAAAACGUAGAGGUCUUUCUCAAGCGUUUUUCAAGAAUUCUUCCAAACAUGUGUU